rnacentral:rRNA from 1 species
GGACCAAAGAGGGGGACCUUCGGGCCUCUUGCCAUCAGAUGUGCCCAGAUGGGAUUAGCUAGUAGGCGGGGUAAUGGCCCACCUAGGCGACGAUCCCUAGCUGGUCUGAGAGGAUGACCAGCCACACUGGAACUGAGACACGGUCCAGACUCCUACGGGAGGCAGCAGUGGGGAAUAUUGCACAAUGGGCGCAAGCCUGAUGCAGCCAUGCCGCGUGUGUGAAGAAGGCCUUCGGGUUGUAAAGCACUUUCAGCGGGGAGGAAGGCAGUAAGGUUAAUAACCUUGCUGAUUGACGUUACCCGCAGAAGAAGCACCGGCUAACUCCGUGCCAGCAGCCGCGGUAAUACGGAGGGUGCAAGCGUUAAUCGGAAUGACUGGGCGUAAAGCGCACGCAGGCGGUCUGUUAAGUUGGAUGUGAAAUCCCCGGGCUUAACCUGGGAACUGCAUUCAAAACUGACAGGCUAGAGUCUUGUAGAGGGGGGUAGAAUUCCAGGUGUAGCGGUGAAAUGCGUAGAGAUCUGGAGGAAUACCGGUGGCGAAGGCGGCCCCCUGGACAAAGACUGACGCUCAGGUGCGAAAGCGUGGGGAGCAAACAGGAUUAGAUACCCUGGUAGUCCACGCUGUAAACGAUGUCGACUUGAGGUUGUGCCCUUGAGGCGUGGCUUCCGGAGCUAACGCGUUAAGUCGACCGCCUGGGGAGUACGGCCGCAAGGUUAAACUCAAAUGAAUUGACGGGGGCCCGCACAAGCGGUGGGAGCAUGUGUUUUAAUUCGAUGCAACGCGAAGAACUUACUACUCUUGACUUCAGAAGAAUUUAGCUAGAGAUGCUUAGUGCCUUCGGGAACUCUGAGACAGGUGCUGCAUGGCUGUCGUCAGCUCGUGUUGUGUAAAUGUUGGGUUAAGUCCCGCAACGAGCGCAACCCUUAUCCUUUGUUGC